rnacentral:rRNA from 1 species
GACGUAGCGUGCGAGCGUUGUUCGGAAUCACUGGGCUUAAAGGGCGCGUAGGCGGGCCUUCAAGUCCGGGGUGAAAUCCUCCAGCCUAACUGGAGAAGAGCCUCGGAGACUGAGGGCCUCGAGGAGGGUAGGGGCGUGCGGAACUCUGGGUGGAGCGGUGAAAUGCAUUGAUAUCCAGAGGAACACCAAUGGCGAAGGCAGCUCGCUGGAACGGUACUGACGCUGAGGCGCGAAAGCGUGGGGAGCAAACAGG